UACAGAUGUAACAGGGCAAUAAAGAGAGAAUCUGGUGCUCAGUCCAACGCAGGAGGCAGGAAGCGCUCUAGCUCGUAUCAGGGCGCAGGACGGGCAUCGUGGUGGGUCUACUCGGAGCGUGCGGAGGCGAACGGGGAACUAGUAUUAUGGCGGAACAGGAUGUGGAAAACGAGCUUCUGGAUUAUGAGGAAGAUGAAGAGCCCCAGGCUCCUACAGAGAGUACCCCAGUACCCCCCAAGAAAGAUGUCAAGGGGUCCUAUGUUUCCAUCCACAGCUCUGGCUUCCGGGACUUUCUGCUGAAGCCUGAGCUCCUGAGGGCCAUAGUGGACUGUGGCUUUGAGCAUCCCUCUGAGGUUCAGCACCAGAGUAUUCCCCAAGCCAUCCUGGGCAUGGAUGUCCUGUGCCAGGCCAAGUCUGGAAUGGGCAAGACUGCAGUCUUCGUGCUGGCCACCCUACAGCAGAUCGAGCCCGUCAAUGGACAGGUGACCGUCCUGGUCAUGUGCCACACUCGGGAGCUGGCCUUUCAGAUCAGCAAGGAGUAUGAGCGCUUCUCCAAGUACAUGCCCAGUGUCAAGGUGUCCGUGUUCUUCGGGGGUCUUUCCAUCAAGAAGGACGAAGAGGUGUUGAAGAAGAACUGUCCCCACGUCGUGGUGGGGACUCCAGGUCGCAUCUUGGCACUCGUGCGGAACAGGAGCCUCAACCUGAGAAACGUGAAGCACUUCGUGCUGGACGAGUGUGACAAGAUGCUGGAGCAGCUGGACAUGCGGCGGGAUGUACAGGAGAUCUUUCGCCUGACGCCACACGAGAAGCAGUGCAUGAUGUUCAGUGCCACCCUGAGCAAGGAGAUCCGGCUCGUCUGCAGGAAGUUCAUGCAAGAUCCCAUGGAGGUGUUUGUGGACGACGAGACCAAGCUCACGCUGCAUGGGCUGCAGCAGUACUAUGUCAAGCUCAAAGACAGCGAAAAGAACCGUAAACUCUUCGACCUCCUGGACGUGCUAGAGUUUAACCAGGUGGUGAUCUUCGUGAGGUCGGUGCAGCGCUGCAUGGCCCUGGCCCAGCUGCUCGUGGAACAGAACUUCCCAGCCAUCACCAUCCACAGGGGCAUGGCCCAGGAGGAGCGCCUAUCACGCUAUCAGCAGUUCAAGGACUUUCAGCGGCGGAUCCUGGUGGCCACUGAUCUGUUUGGCCGAGGGAUGGACAUUGAGCGAGUCAACAUCGUCUUCAAUUAUGACAUGCCUGAGGACUCGGACACCUACCUCCACCGGGUGGCCCGUGCCGGUCGCUUUGGCACCAAAGGCCUGGCUAUCACUUUUGUGUCUCAUGAGAAUGAUGCCAAAAUCCUCAAUGAGGUUCAGGGUCGGUUUGAAGUCAAUGUGGCGGAGCUUCCUGAAGAAAUGGACAUCUCCACAUACAUGGAGCCGAGCCACUAACCACACACCUGACAUCCGGAGCCACCCUGCUUCCCACGUGCUGCUUCAAGUCCUCUUUCUAGGCGACAGUGGGGCUUUCUUUUUCUGUUCAAACACUGUAGAUUUGUGUAAGAAUAAAUUUUUAUUAUGGAAAAAAAAAAAA